ensembl:snRNA U6 U6 spliceosomal RNA
UUUGGCGGCAUAUUUACUGGAAAAAAAAAAAAAUGGAAUGAUACAGAGAUUAGCAUUGCCCACGUGCAAGAAUGACAUGCAAAUUUGUGAAGCAUUCUAUAUUUGC